rnacentral:rRNA from 1 species
UAAAACAGCUAGCUCUCUGCAAUUUUCACAUGGUCGCCCACUGAAGCUAAGCAGCGCUGUGCCUAGUCAGUACCUGGUUGGGAAACCACAUGGGAAAACUAGGUUGCUGCUAGAA